rnacentral:rRNA from 1 species
UACGUAGGGUGCAAGCGUUGUCCGGAAUUAUUGGGCGUAAAGAGCUCGUAGGCGGUUUGUCGCGUCUGCUGUGAAAACGCGAGGCUCAACCUCGCGCCUGCAGUGGGUACGGGCAGACUAGAGUGCGGUAGGGGUGACUGGAAUUCCUGGUGUAGCGGUGGAAUGCGCAGAUAUCAGGAGGAACACCGAUGGCGAAGGCAGGUCACUGGGCCACUACUGACGCUGAGGAGCGAAAGCGUGGGGAGCGAACAGG